rnacentral:misc_RNA from 1 species
UGUUUGUUGCAGGAAUAGA